rnacentral:rRNA from 1 species
GACGAACGCUGGCGGCGUGCUUAACACAUGCAAGUCGAGCGGUAAGGCCCUUCGGGGUACACGAGCGGCGAACGGGUGAGUAACACGUGAGCAACCUGCCCCUGACUCUGGGAUAAGCGGUGGAAACGCCGUCUAAUACCGGAUACGACCUUCCGCCUCAUGGUGGAGGGUGGAAAGUUUUUUCGGUCAGGGAUGGGCUCGCGGCCUAUCAGCUUGUUGGUGGGGUAACGGCCUACCAAGGCGAUUACGGGUAGCCGGCCUGAGAGGGCGACCGGCCACACUGGGACUGAGACACGGCCCAGACUCCUGCGGGAGGCAGCAGUGGGGAAUAUUGCGCAAUGGGCGAAAGCCUGACGCAGCGACGCCGCGUGGGGGAUGACGGCCUUCGGGUUGUAAACCUCUUUUACCACCAACGCAGGCUCCGGGUUCUCUCGGGGUUGACGGUAGGUGGGGAAUAAGGACCGGCUAACUACGU